rnacentral:rRNA from 1 species
AAGACCUUGCGCUUUUGGAGCGGCCGAUGCCUGAUUAGCUUGUUGGUAAGGUAAAAGCUUACCAAGGCUUCGAUCAGUAGCUGGUCUGAGAGGACGACCAGCCACACUGGGACUGAGACACGGCCCAGACUCCUACGGGAGGCAGCAGUGGGGGAUUUUGGACAAUGGGGGCAACCCUGAUCCAGCCAUGCCGCGCGAGUGAAGAAGGCCUUCGGGUUGUAAAGCUCUUUCAGCCGGAACGAAACGGUUACGGUUAAUACCCGUGACUACUGACGGUACCGGAAGAAGAAGCACCGGCUAACUACGUGCCAGCAGCCGCGGUAAUACGUAGGGUGCGAGCGUUAAUCGGAAUUACUGGGCGUAAAGCGUGCGCAGGUGGUUUUGUAAGUCAGAUGUGAAAGCCCCGGGCUCAACCUGGGAACU